rnacentral:lncRNA from 1 species
GACUGGGUCAGGGAGAGGUUGAAAAUGACAAUGCAUAUGCCUGCCAGCUGUUCUGCGCAUGCUCUGCAGCCUGGUGAGUGUUGACUUGAUUAAAAACUUACUGAUGUCUUCACAGCCUAAACAUAUUAAUCUGACUGAAGGAGUUUUUGGUUUUUUGUUUGUUUUUGUUUGGAAUAUUAUUUUAUAUAUAUAUAUAUAUAUAUAUAUAUAUAUAUAUAUAUGAUUUUUUCUUCUUUUUUACCUAUUUUUAUUCUUCACUUCUCCCUAAUAUGUUGUUAAGGUUGAUCCGUUUUCACCCCAUCCAGUGGCUGGCGGCUUGCACCUCUAACGUUGUUGCGGACCGCCAUAAUUCCAUAGAAGAAAAAAAAAAUCGGUGACCCGGAAGUAGUAAAAUAAUAUUGCUGGCUUGGCUUCAGAGCAGCGCUAACAACCAUGUCGAGCAACGAGGUUUUUCAGACACAAUUAUGUACUAUUAUGGAUAUAUUCGUUGAAUCAGCAGUAAGGGAGGUGUCGAGACUCCUAGACGAGUGCUUUGUUGCUGUUAUGGAAAAUGAAGAGAAUAGUUUGCUAAAGAGAGAAAUGACACGCGUGAAUAAAACCAACACGAGAAAGUUUGCAUCAUUCAUGGAGGUGUUGAGUAAAACCUCGAUAGAGAAAAUAGCACUGCUAACCUACGUGGUCGAAUCGGAAGUGAGAGUGGUGGAGAAAACCGCUCUAAACAGGCCUCUCCGUCUGGCAGGAGGGAGGACGGAAGAAAAACCACAACGGGGUGAGUAUGUAACGUAUUUUUGCUAAUGGUGGUUAUGUCCCUAGUACCAUAGAAGGAGCACACAGUGACAGUUGAAUCAACAUUUCCGUUUCAUGUGUAACGGGGGAUAGCCCCCUUUCUUAAAUGUUCGCCUAAAAUUACAUACCAAAUCUAACUGCCUGUAGCUCAGCCCCUGAAGCAAGGAUAUGCAUAUUAUUGGUACCAUUUGAAAGGAAACACUUUGACGUUUGUGGAAAUGUGAAUUGAAUGUAGGAGAAUAUGAUACAAUAGAUCUGGUAGAAGAAAAUACAAUGGGAAAAAAAGUUAAUUUCUUCAAUCUUUGAAAUGCAAGACAACGGUCCUAGUUCGAGCCAUCACUGUGGUUGUAAUUCCGAUGGUGUCCACAUGAUGGCAGCAGUGUGUGCAAAUAACUUGAAUUAUAAGCAAACUACAUGACAUUUAGUCACAUGGGUACAUUUGGGCAAAUCGUGAAGGAGACAUUUGCAUUCAAAUGAACAUUUUCUGCAAGAAUAUCGUCAAAUUUGUAUACUUGCACGUUGAUAUAGCUUCUCCAGUAUUAGUAGCCAUAUUAUAAUUUCAACAUUUACAAAACAACCAGUUUUCAUAACUCUGAAUAUUAUAAUUUUUGUCCAAAAGGAAAAGGCAUGCUGUUGCAAAAGGUUAGCGCCUACAUUUUGCUAUAUAUACAGGGUUUCCGGAUGCUCCCAUAAAGCCCAGCUCUUUGGUUAUUUAGCUAGCUUUGUUUGACCCCGAUUGGUGCUUAUUUGACAAAGAUACAGUCGAUCAAAUGAAGACCGGCCACGUCAUCGGCGUGCCAUGAAGGCGCUCUAACCAAAUUUGGUGUCCUAUAGGAUAUACUACACCCCUAAUGAUAUAGUGAAGUCUGGUUACGUUCUAGGAUCUCUGAGGGAUGCAUACAAACGUGAUUUGACUGGUUGAAACAACGUUUGGGGUUACGUUUUCACAGAUUCCUUUCUUUGCAAGUUGAGCGAGUGGAAAUACAAAAUCAAUCGUGCAUGCUAUAUGGACCUUUUUAGGAUAUGAAAAAGGAUUUUAUCUAACAAAUUGACACUUCAUGUUAUCUCUGGGACCCUUUGGAUGAUAAAUCACAGCAAGAUUUCAGAAUGUAUGUAUACAUUUCACCUUCCGAUGUGAGUUUAUCAAACCUAUUGCAGUCAGUAUUUUGCUGUUAGGAGUAGAGGUCGACCGAUUAUGAUUUUUUUUUUUUCAGCGCCGAUACCGAUUAUUGGAGGGCCAAAAAAAGGCGAUACCGAUUAAUCGGUCAAUUAUUAUUAUUAUUAUUUUUUUGUAAUAAUGACAAUCACAACAAUACUGAAUACUGAAUACUAAACGUGCAAUAUGUGCCAUGUAAGAAAGCUAACGUUUCAGUUCCUUGCUCAGAACAUGAGAACAUAUGAAAGCUGGUGGUUCCUUUUAACAUGAGUCUUCAAUAUUCCCAGGUAAGAGUUUUUAGGUUGUAGUUGUUAUAGGAAUUAUAGGACUAUUUCCCUCUAUACCAUUUGUAUUUCAUUAACCUUUGACUAUUGGGUGUUCUUAUAGGCACUUUAGUAUUGCCAGUGUAACAGUAUAGCUUCUGUCCCUCUAGUUAGUGCGCGCUAACUAGCUAGCCAUUUCACUUCGGUUACACCAGCCUCAUCUCGGGAGUUGAUAGGCUUGAAGUCAUAAACGGCACAAUACUUGACGCACAACGAAGAGCUGCUGGCAAAACGCACGGAAGUGCUGUUUGAAUGAAUGUUUACACGCCUGCUUCUGCCUACCGCCGCUCAGUCAGAUGCUUGUAUGCUCAGUCAGAUUAUAUGCAACGCAGGACACGCUAGAUAAUAUCUAUUAAUAUCAUCAACCAUGUGUAGUUAACUUGUGAUUAUGAUUGAUUUUUUUUUGUUUUUUCUAAAAUAAGUUGAAUGCUAUCUAGCAACUUACCUUGGCUUACUGCAUUCGCGUAACAGGCAGUCUCCUUGUGGAGUGCAACGAGAGAGAGGCAGGUCGUUAUUGCGUUGGACUAGUUAACUGUAAGGUUGCAAGAUUGGAUCCCCCAAGCUGACAAGGUGAAAAUCUGUCGUUAUGCCCCUGAACAAGGCAGUUAACCCACGGUUCCUAGGCCGUCGUUGAAAAUAAGAGUGUGUUCUUAACUGACUUGCCCAGUUAAAUAAAGAUAUAUAAAAAAAUAAAAAAUUGGAAAAUCGGCGCCCAAAAAUACCGAUUUCCGAUUGUUGUGAACUUGAAAUCGGCCCUAAUUAAACCGGCCAUUCCGAUUAAUCGGUCAACCUCUAGUUAGGAGCUCUCCUCAAACAAUGGCAUGGCAUUUUUUCACAGUAAUAGCUACUGUAAAUUGGACAGUGCAGUUAUAUUAACAAGAAUUUAAGCUUUCAGACAAAAUAAGACCCUUAUCUAUACCGACAUUUGUUGUUUCUCUAAAAUCUGCGAUCGUGACCCAAAGCGCUGCUUGAUUUACAACUGUCCCAUCAACGGGAUGCAAAUCUGUGAGAUUAAUAUGUGUUAAUAUGUGCAACAUCAAUAUUCACCAUGAAGCAUGGAGGAGAUGGUGUGGGGUGCUUUGCUGGUGAAACUGUCACUUAACAAGCAUAACCAGCAUCCCAUCUGGUUUGGGAUUAGUCCCACUAUCAUUUGUUUUUCAACAGGACAAUGAUCCAACAAACAGCCAGGCUGUGUAAGGGCUAUUUAAUCAAGAAGGAGAGUGAGGGAGUGGUGCAUCAGAUGACCUGGCCUCUACAAUCACCUGACCUCAACCCAAUUGAGAUGGUUUGGGAUGAAUUGGACCGCAGAGUGAAGGAAAAGCAGCCAACAGGUGCUCAGCAUAUGUGGGAACUCCUUCAAGGCUUUUGGAUAAGCAUUCCAGAUUAAGCUAGUUGAGAGAAUGCUAAGAGUGCAAAGCUUUCAUCAAGGUAAAAGGUGGCUACUUUGAAGAAUCUCAAAUAUAAAAUAUAUUUUAAUUUGUUUAACACUUUUUUUUGGUUACUACAUGACUCUUUGUUAUUUCAUAGUGCUACUGUCUUCACUAUUAUUCUACAAUGUAGAAAAUAGUAAAAAUAAAGAAAAACCCUUGAAUGAGUAGGUGUUCUAAAACUUUUGACUGUGUCUCUCUCACACACACACACACACACACACACACACACACACACACACACACACACACACAAGUAUAGUUUCUGCUCUGACAUCCACUGUCAACUUACAUAGACAGUUUUUUUUCUUUCUAAAUCA